rnacentral:tRNA from 1 species
GCGGGUGCGGGUGACCGGCCAGGGAGACGGUGAGCCUGAAGUGCUCGCCGGCGGGCACGAGCCGGCCGUACACGGCCGUCACGAACCGGCCCGCCCGCUC